UAGGGGGAAUUUUCCGCAAUGGGCGAAAGCCUGACGGAGCAAUGCCGCGUGGAGGUGGAAGGCCUACGGGUCGUCAACUUCUUUUCUCGGAGAAGAAACAAUGACGGUAUCUGAGGAAUAAGCAUCGGCUAACUCUGUGCCAG
rnacentral:rRNA from 1 species